CCGAGUAUGAAGUUACUCUCAAGGGGAAAACCAGAGCUCACUUUGUAAGAUUUGACUCAUCUGAUGGCACUGUCUUAUGUAGCUGCAAAAAGUUUGUUUAUGUUGGGAUUCAGUGUUGUCAUGUACUUAAAGUACUUGAUUUUAGGGAUAUUAAGGAGCUCCCACAACAGUUUUUCUUAAAGAGGUGGAGGAAGGAUGCGAAGUCUGGAAGCUUAAGGGACAAUGAAGGGCUUCCACUUCAUAACAACCCAAAUUCAUCCAUGAUGAAACGGUACAACUCUUUGUGUCAAAUAUUAUAUAGAAUUGCAGAACGUGCAGCAGAAAAUAUGGAUGCAUUCACAUUAUUGGCAGAGCAAUCGGAUCAGCUUGUUGAACAUGUGGAGCGAAUUUUGCAGACAAAACUGCUUGAGAAACCUCCUCCUAUUAACAAUGUCUUGAAGGGUCAGCUGCAAAAUCCUUGCUGAAAUCCAAAAUUCCCUUGAUGACAACAGUGAAGCCCUAAAAGUUAACUGCAAAAAGAGGAAAGAUGCAAUUGUUCCGCGCAGACAGCAAGGGAGAUCUGAGGUGAAUAAGAGACAUAAACUAAGUAAAGGGCAAGCUGAAGAGUGUGAUGUUGCAGCAAGAGACGUGGAACCACCUCUGUCAACAACAGAUGUUAUUCCUCAAAUAAAUUCUUCGAAUCAGUUUAUUGCUCCGAGUCACUUUUUGCAGGGACCUUAUGUUACUAACCAUCAGUUUGGACUUGCCAGCGCACAAGCUUUUCAUGCGAUGACUCAGUUUGGUCAGGACCAGCCAUUUCACGGAAGCUCACAUUUGAACCAGUCAACCGUGCCAGGUUACCCCACCCCAGAAAUGCAUGCUCUUCAGUUCGUUGGGAGCAAUCCGCAGCUUGAUCACCAAGGGAGUGAUCAAGGACAUUGUAAUAUUCCCGUGUGGGAUUUUCUCUGAGGUAGGAACACAACAUGGUGUAUAUAAGAAGGGAAGUUUUAGAAAGUUUUUGUUGCUGAUUUUAUUUUUGAUCAACGGAACAUGUAAUCUCACGCAGCUUAAGUUCCACACAGAAAUUAGCUUCAGAUGGUUAGGGCUAUCAGGCAUAUAUACUGGAGAUUUGCUGGAUCUUCAGGAGCUUUCUAGCUUUUAAAAUUCGGGUCAGUUUAUUUUCAUUUUUAUUUUACCUAUGCUUCUUCAUUGAAGAUCCCGUGUAUAUUUCAAGAAAAAUUUUUCCUGUUUUAGCCCAUAAUUAAGAAAUAAAUAAAUUGACAUUCUUUAAUGUCAUGAAAUUUUGCCAUUGCGUCAGUUGUAAAUAUAUUGAGGGGUUGCCCGUUAUAUGAGACGGAUUAUGUUCUGGGAAGAUGAUUGAUGUCAAAGUCUAUUGAGGAUGUUUCAAAGCGC